CUGUGCUUCCCCAGGAAUCUGUGUUUCCAGAGAACCAGGUGCAUCAGCGCAUUGCGGAGCUGAGGAAAGCAGGUCUGUGGUCCCAGAGGCGUCUGCUGAAGCUGCAGGAGGCCCCACGGCCCAAGUCCCACUGGGACUGUCUGCUGGAGGAGAUGCAGUGGAUGGCCACAGACUUUGCCCAGGAGAGGUGGAAGGUGGCCUCUGUGAAGAAGAUGGUCAGAGCUGUGGCCCGGCAGCUGCAGGACAGGACGCGCAGGGAGGCCGGGGCCAGGAGGGAGGAGCCGAGCAGGCUGAAGCAGACGUCACCUGUACUACCAGAGAAAUCGAGCGUCCCUGGUCUAGUACUGCGCAGGUAAAGAUUCCAGCAUCUUUGAAGCAAGUGCUCCACUGGAAAAUAAAAGCGACGUGGAGCACUUGAUUAGACUCCAGAAACAGAAACUGCAGCUGCUCCCACCACCCCCACCACCGCAGGCCCUCCCCGGGGCGCAGCCAACCACACAAGUGCAAGUGCAGCCAUCACCCCCCACCACAGCAGAGCCCCCAGCUCACCACGGUCACGGCCCCGAGACCCAGAGCCCUGUUGAUGGGCACCACCAUGGCCAACCUCCAGACUCGAGUUUCCACCUCCCACCUGCAAGGCCCAAGACUGAUGUCAGCGCUGACGUACCAGAUGGCCCAGGUUGCUGUGGCCACGCCUCCUGUGGUGUCUGUCCUGGCAGUUGUGGUGCUGUCAGCCAGGGUCACAGUGCUUCCAUCAACGCAACGGGAUCAGUGUUGUGAUAAGGCAGCUGCAAAAAGCGGCAGUGGGCAACAGAUUUGAGCAGACACUCCACCAAAGAAGCUCUCUAGGUGGCAAAUAAGCACUGUCCUCUGGGAAAUGCAAAUAAAAAUCACAAUGAGAAACUACUGCACACCCGUGAGAAUGCCUUUAAAAAAAAAAGACAAGACCAAAACCAAGUGUUAGUGAGGGUGUGGAACAACAGAAAUUCUCAUACCUUGUUGGUGGAACUACAAGAUAGUGGAGCCCUCUGGAAUCAGUUUGGCAGUUUCUUAUAAAAUAAAACAAUCAUUUACUGUAUGACCCAGCAAUCCCGCCCCUCAUUCUUUAUACCAGAGAAAUGAAGACAUAUGUCCACACAAUAACCAAAUACUGUAACCACAAUGAAAAAUGAUGCAAGUGUUCACAGAAGCUUUAUUCAUUUACCUAAAACUGAAAGCAACCCAGACACUCUUCAACUGGCCAAUGGGUAAACAAACGGCAGCCCACCAGUUCCAUAAAACAGCACUCAGCAGGAGACAGGACUGGGCCACUGAUGCUGGGGGCAGCGGGGAUAAGCCUGAAAUGUCUUAUGCAGAGUGAAAGAGGCCACACUUAGAAGGCUGCAGUUUUUGUUUUUAUAUAUGACAUUCUGGAAAAGGCAACACUAUAGCGACAGAGAAGAGCUCUGCGGUCACGAGGGGCUGGGGCGGUGGAAGGACUGACUUUCAAAGGGACAAGAGGGAAUUCUUGGGGGCUGUGGAAAGAUUCUGUAUCUUGAUGCUGAUGGUUGUUAC
rnacentral:lncRNA from 1 species